UAUUACUGUGGUGGGUGUGGGCGUGUACGAACACUUCGCUGCUAGCUAGAAUGAGAAAUAAGGUUUAUGGCUACAGUAAGCUAAAAUUUUUUCUUCGUCUGGCUGCCUGUCGCUUGGUAGCAUAAACUCUUUCUAACGUAAUUAGACCGUUUUUUGACUCUUUUACAGACGCAGUCUUUGCAUUCUAGCAAGCUGGUUAAUCCUUAAAUUACCAAAAGCUUUGGCAUACCAGACUGAGACUAACGGGCAACAGCGGUGAUUCAGCGUGCUAGCUAGUGAGAAAAAUUUUGAGAGCCUCCACAUCCAGCCUAACAUCCAUUGAUGUUAGCCUAUGAGUAUCGCCUUCGCAUAUCGCCAGCGUUGUUAAUCGCCGGGUUUCUAUCUACCAAGAUGUACGGGAUGUUGGGAUGACAGGAAGAUGGCAAACGGGGCUGGAAAACACAAGCUGCUUGUCAUUGGACCAACAGAACCAUGGUCAGUGAGGGAGAAGCUGUGUUUGGCCACAUCUGUCAUGAAGAGUGGGGACCAGAACUGGGUAUCGGUCAGUCGUGCCAUAAAACCAUUUGCAGAACCUGGGCGACCACCUGACUGGUUCUCUCAAAAGCACUGUGCCUCCAAAUACUCAGAGCUCCUGGAAGCGACAGAGGCCCCAAAGCGGAAGCGCGGCGAGAAAGGUGAGGUGGUGGAGACAGUGGAGGAUGUGAUAGUUCGCAGACUGACGGCUGAGAGGAUCGAGGAACUAAAGAAGCUGAUAAAAGAAACGCAGGAGAAGCACAGGAAGCUGAAGAGAGAGGCUGAACUGAUUCAAGCAGGACAUCUGGAUUCCAAACUGAAAGAGCUAUGGGAGGAAAUUCUGCUGAAGAAGAAACUGGAGGAGGAGGAAGCAGAGAUGAAAAGAAAAAACACAGAUGCUGCUUAUCAAGCCAGACAGGUGGCAAAGAACACACCCAAGCGGAUACCCAGUGUCACCAUGCAUUCGCCCUCAGGCUGUAGCUCCCCAAGCCAGGAGUUCUCCCCAGGUGACCAACUCGAGUGCUUGACACUGGAUCUUACAUCUACAAAGAAUGCUUCUGGAACAGCCAGGCUAAUGACAUUUGCUGAGCCUUCUAGUAAUGAUGACAGCCACGGGUCCCUGCUAGAGGACCCCACCCAAAAGAAGUUACUGUGUCAGAAAGCCACGCCACCACCAUCUCCCCUCCUGUCAGAGUUACUGAAGAAAGGCAGUAUAUUGGCCACAAAUUCCAGAUUGAUUGGAGAUGGUGACGUGUCCACAGGUAAUGUGUCAGGAGCACAUGACUUGCAGCUGGCUCCACCUUGUCAGCCUCUCUCUCAGGCAGCAGGUGCCCCGAUGUUAUCCCGUCUCCUGGAAGCAGGCCCCGCCCAGUUUUCCCCUCCAUUAGGUUUUAUGGUCAGUGUAGAUUCUGCCUCCAGUGUUCCUCUCUCUGCCACCACUCCUGUUCCUGCUCAAUCAAACAUCUCAGCAAGUGCAGAGGUAAAUGUGAUGGUGCCAUCUGUGGCCCCUGGAUGCCAGCCUGUCUCUUCUAUGGUAGAAGAUAAGGUGUCAGAGCUCAGUGAGGACGAUGUGACUGUGUCACUGUGUCAUGAGCUGGACCUGAAGACAGUGGGGGACAUCAUCGCCAUCAUUGAAGAGAAGGCUGAUGAAGCUGCUGAUGCUUUGGAUGCAGCUGCAGUUGAGGCUGCUCUGUCCCUUUGUGAAGAAAAUGGCCACGCUCUGUCUGCUGCCUGGGAUUCUGGGCCUUUCCAGCCUCAUGAGCCACACAAUCCCACAGUGCCCACUGGGGCUGUACAGUCUUCAUCUCUUCACUGUAGCUUGGAGGAGAGGACGGAAGCUUCACUCUCUUCUUUUUGCAACAGUCAAGAUAACCAUCUUGCAGGAUUUCCUGUGGGACUGAGGAGCAUUCCUCCCUCUUCCUCAUCUGGAUGCGACUCAAAGAUUUUGGAGCACUACCGCAGUGGAACGCCUCCACAGGCUGCAGCAGUGAGAGAGACCGGAGAGGCGGUUCACUCAAAAACCCAAAUGUCAUCCAGAAAAUGUGAACGUGAGAAGUGGGCACAGCAAAUCCCUGAAAAAAUCCACGGAGACUCGGUAUUAGAAGAUAACCCACUGACAGAAAGGCAUCCAAAGGAGACGAAGAGGGAGGACGCAAUAACUAUUGGGGGAGGAGAGAAGGCCUCGGGGACUAACCUGCAAAACAAAGUUAAUGGGCCAGAGGUGUGUGGAGAAGAAGUGGGAGAUGGGGUGGAAGAAUUCCUAUCAGAGCCAGACGGCGAAACUGAGCUAGAACCGGCAGCUAGUGAGAGUGAGGAUGGAUACAGCCUCCAUACGGCUUCCUCUUCACUGCAGCUCCACACAACUGCAGACUCCAUCCCCAGCAGCCCAGCUUCGUCGCAGUUUUCUGUGUGCAGUGAGGAUCUGGAAGCUCUACAGGCUCACAAAAUCUGGAAGAAAGCCAUUAUGCUUGUGUGGCGAGCAGCAGCCAAUCACAGGUAUGCAAAUGUCUUCCUUCAGCCAGUAACAGAAGAGAUUGCGCCUGGAUACCACAGUAUUGUGCACAGGCCCAUGGACCUGGCAACCAUAAAGAAGAACAUCGAAAACGGUCUGAUAAGGACCACCGCCGAGUUCCAGAGGGACAUCAUGCUGAUGUUUCAGAACGCAGUCAUGUACAACAGCCUGGACCACGACGUGUACCACAUGGCUCUGGAGAUGCAGCGUGACGUCCUGGAGCAGAUCCAACAGUUUCUAGCUACCCAGCUCAUCAUGGAGACGUCAGAAUCUGGUAUCAGCGCCAAGAGCCUGAGAGGCCGUGAGAGCACGCGCAAACAGGACUCUACUGACAAGGUGCUUCACUAGAGUUUUGACAAAAGCAGAGUACAGAAGAAGAGAAAAGGGACACUGUGUCCAUGUCUUCCCCUGCCUUCCUUCUUUCUCUUUUUGAUGGAGGCACCAGAGGGCGCCGUAGUGCCAUAGAAGCUGACCUCAAAAUGAAGAAAUGAAACCAUCAGUAUGAUAUUGUAUCAGUAUGGUGUCCCUGAGAUAAAGUGAAAAGACUGAUCUCAUUGUCUCUCAGUUGCACAGAUUGCGGCUCUGCGUAUGGUGCAGUGUAACCUUUGCUUGCACUCUAGAUUAAAAGGAUAGACUGCAGUGUGGAGAUGCUAAUUUGUUCUGAGACAGCCAUACAGUCGUGGAUUACAUAAAGUAUAAUCCCAGAUUAGAGUGGGAGCAUUCUGAAAGACCAUGUCAGACCUUUCAUGGAUAUAGCUGCACAUCACUCAGACGUAACCUGCUCUGAAGUUCAUGGGGAUGUAGAGAGGUUUUAAAAAAUGCUCCUAUUAUACAGUUGGGCUGAAUAUUGAAUUAACUGGGCUUGAAGUUGAUCCCCAGAUUAGCGUCCAGAAGGCCAAAAGUCUGGCCAGAGGGGCAAGUUGAUUUCAAACAGAAGCGUUUUCACUGCAGGUGUAAAACAGAUUUUAAAGAUCUAAUUUUAAGACUUUGAUAUCCUUUUACUGUAAUGUUUGUGUUGGAUUUAUUUUAUCAAUGUGACACUUUGGUGAAACAGUACCUACAUGCUUACUCUACUACAUACUCAGUGCUUUUGAUUAAGUGUUACAUUUCUAAACUGUUGUUUACUUUAAAGUCUG